rnacentral:lncRNA from 1 species
AUAUCGGGGGUGCACUGGCACAGAGGAAAGGCCAUGUGAAGCAAGAAGGCAGCCAUCUGCAAGCCAAGGAGAGAAAUUUCAGAAGGAACCAACCCUACCGACAUCUUGAUCUUGGACUUUAAGCUGCCAGACCUUUUAUACAUUUUCUACAGAAAAUGCACCCCAUCAUUGCUUAUAGCCCACCCACGUGGACUGCUCAUUCUGUGAAUCAUGUUUUACAGAAAUUGCCUUGAUGUUAGGAAUUAAAAAAACAAAACAAAACAAAAAACAUGGAGCCGUAUUCUCCAGAAGCUUACAUCUGAUUUAACGAGACAGCAAUAGGAAGCCAAAGGGUCCCUGCAGAGGAGGGUUGCAGCACGAUAACUCUACAGCUGGACAGAGACAGAUUGCAGGGGAGCAAGAAUGAAUGGCAGGCCAGCUGCCAGAAGCUUCUCACUCCGUGGAGACCUUGGAGUCGAGGAUGAAAUGUCUUACAACUGUGGGGAGACCUUGGCUUUUCCAAAGCCUACCAGGGUCCAGGACUUGGAAGCUAAGGCCCAGAGAGGAGGAGAAACUUGAUCAAAGUCAAUCAGACAAUGCAGAAUCGAGAAAAGUACCUGGACCUCUAUGCCCAUGCUUCUAGCAGCCAGCCUCCUAAAAUACCUCUAGUUGAAGCCAAAGUUAGAAUCCUUCUACGAAACUACAGGAUUAAAAUGGAAUGGUUACAUGACCCAGGCUUGACCAAUCAGAUCAUCCAAACCCUUUGCCACAGUGAUUGGUCCAGGGAUACAUGCAUGAGCCAGCUCAGGUGGCAUUGUAUUAUGCGCCAAGAGUGAACCAGAUAGAGGAAGUUGCUCCUUAAGCUUGCAGGUCUGAAAGAACAAGGAAUUGCCUCUCUUCAAAGAUAAGAAGUCCAGCCACUUCUUUAAUUUAUCGGAUUAUAAGGCCUAAGCCACACUCAUCUUGUGGAUGACACUGGAGCUGUGACAGUCUGUUCUGUCCAGGCAGGGUGUCUUUUAUUUUUAUUGGAAAUAAGAUUAUCACAGCCCUUUGAGAGCUUCUGUGUCUCAACAUCAGAAAAUCAUCCUAGAUCCAUACUUGUACACAACAGUCUGUGCCAGUGAGAUUCAUUCUUUUGGGAGCUCUGCUAAUAAUGCACGAAUUGCUGGCUGUUGAUACUCUUUCUCAUCAACUCCCCAAAUGGAAAUGCUUUCAACCACUGCAGAAGUAAAAAAUUACCCAAAGGCUGUAUGAUGCAAACUCUUUCUUUGGCUUUAUCUUACUGAUAAGAAUAAAAAUAACACCUCACGUAUGUAU